CUGGGAUUGCAGGUGUGUGACACCCCGCCCAGUGUAAGAAGGCAGCUUUGAACAAGCAGGAGUGAAAGCUAGAACAAGUAAGUCAGUUUACACUGGCUCAAAGCCAUGGAACUUUUUCUCCAGCAGAGCCGAGAGAGAAAGUGUAGUAGCCUUCGUUCAGAGGUGGAGUUUAGGAAGGCGGGAGACAAGUUGUGGGGGAAAGAAGGUCCCUGUCAGGAUAAUUACUGAUAACAUGAUUAACAGGAGAAGGGAAAGCAAGCAAAGGGAGCGAUCCUUGGUACUGUGAACUGCUGGAAGGCGGGAAGCAGAGAGGGUGCUGCUCAGUGAAAGACCUCUGGGAGCCUGAUAAAGUGAUUCCAGAACCUUCUGGUAUUUCCUCAACAGAGCGAAAAGAUGCUUCCUGACACAAGCUGACCAGUGCUGUGUUUGAGGGAGUCCUUCCCUGCAAGUUCCCGAGCCAUCCUCCUUCAUACUUCAAGGCAUAGAAACAUAGAGAGAUUGACAGUUUUCGUGGCUGAACUGGGUAGAAUAGAAGAGAGAUUCUCCAGAUGGCCCUACGGGAUCCGCCGUCUUUGCUGUCUUUCGCCUUGACCAGACCUCCACUGCAGAGCAACCUCAAAAUGGGAGAGGAGCUCUUGGGGGAACCUAAGCGAGGAGUGUUGCAGGAAAAUUUGCCAACACAUCUCAAAGUCCUCUUUGGCUGAUAUCAAACGGAGCUCAGCUUCUAAAGAGCGAGAAAAGAGCAGGGAUCUAAGAUGGAGACUAAUCUUCCCGACUGGGCUGCCUUCGGGUCACCAGUGAGUGACACAGAGUCGGGGAUCAACGCAGGGCCACUACACCCAGGAAGGUUUUAAAUCUGAUGACGUCUGCCUUAUGCUGUCUUUGUUUCCCCUGCUUUGGCGUCCUGAGAGACCACGUGAACGAAGAAGGUGGUGUUCUCUCCCAAGCGUUCAUCAUCUGAGGCUCAACCUGGCCUCUGAUUUCACUCUGUGCCCCUUUUAUGUUUGCUAUGAAGUCUUUGCAUAUGAACGCAGUCCCCCGCCUGCUGCUCUUUACCCGACGGUUGGUUCUGACACCCUUGUUACAAGUGACCAUAAAAGGCAGUGUGAGAUGAGUUUCAGAAAACUACGUCUUUCAUUUCUACAGUGUUUAAAGAAGAACCUCAACACCCUAGCUCAAGUUACGGUAACCCUUCUGAAUAAAUAAAAAUGUUCAGAAUAGAAACCACUUCAAUGCUUUCUUGUUUCCUCAAAUCCAGUUAGAAAAUUCUACGUAUACCUAGAUGUGGUUUUUCAUCAGGACAGACCAUGGAAGUCAAUAAGCUGCAGAACUGAGUGUGUGCAUAAGGUUUCCCUAGUUGAUAUGUGUGUGUGUGUGUGUGUGUGUGUGUAUGUUUGUGUGCAUGUAUAUGCUCAUUAACCUUGAGUUCUACC